GGUCAUGUGGCCUAGUGGUCAUGGCAUCUUCUGGUAAGCGGAAGGUCGUGGGUUCGAUUCCCAUCCCUUGAUACU
rnacentral:tRNA from 1 species